CCCGCCUCACCCGUGCCUCUUGACCUGCGCCUGCAGGGCGACCUCUCCUUCCUGUGGGACCCCCCCAUCCUGACCCUGCCAGGAUCUCAGGCAGUCCAUUUGGGGGUCAGUGUUCUGGGUGCUAGGAGUGGACCCUGCCCACCUGGAACGCCUGCGCUGGAGGGAAGGCAGACACGGGACAGAAACCACGACAUGCCAGUCCCUCCUGGACAGAGAAAUACUGGAGGUGGGGACCAGAGGGGGAGUCCCGAGUGGGGAACGAUGAGGAGGGCGUUAGGGGAGGGGGCUCCAGGCAGAGGGAACAACAUAAGCAAAGGCCCAGGAGACCCAGUAGGGUGCGGGAGGUGCUCCGCCCUAUCACGGGCCCUUUAUAGGUAGGCAGGGAAUGGAGCAGACAGAUCCUGCAUGGGGGGAUAGAGCCUCUGGGGCACACUGAGCUGGGGGUGCCUUUGGGAUGUUUGUGCAGCUGCCCAGCCUCACUGUCUUCCAUCCACGUUGGGUAGGUCUGCAAUCUGAGGCAUUGGGAGCUCUGUCCUAGAGAAGAUAGGCGAGGGGCUCAGGGGCUCAGUAUCAACAGGGGGCUGGGCCCAGACACAGGUCUGCCACAUGCUCUUCUUGUGACAUGGGCAGUUCUCAUUUUCCUCUCUGGAUCUCAGUUUGUUCUUCUGAAUAGCAAGAUGGUCCGAUGAGGGGACUGAGGGACCUCGCCUAUCCUAAGAGCCUCUGUGGUUAUGGGGGUCAGAGUACAGGUGUGAGCACAGAUCCCACCUUCCUACCAGGCCAGUGAGGAAAUGGUCCAGAAGGUGUGGUGGGAGCCCUCGUCUCCGCGUGGGAGGAUGUGGUCCAGAAGGUGUGGUCGGAGCCCUCGCCUCUGUGUGGGCAGACAUGGGUGCUUGGGCUUCCGUUUUCCUGCUCCAUUUGGGGGAGACAAACACCUCACAUGGAAAUGGAAAGAAAUCUGUGACUCUUGGAAACCCAAGGAACAGAGAGGUGGUGACAGUGUCUUGCCACCGAGGUAGCACGGUGCCUUCUGUCCUGAAGUGAGGCACCUCUGGGCAGGAGCAGCCCAGCCCGGGUCUUCAUCCUGGGUGGCAGUGCAGACAGUCUAGACCCCAGCCUCACUUCCCAUCCCGUGGGCAUUUGUGAUGAGCCAGGCACCCCUGCCCCUAGGCCCUGUCACUGUUAUGGGGACGAGUUAGGAGUCAGCACGAGCAGCCUGUGGUCCCCUCCCCAAGGCCCUCAGGGACAGUGCCCCAGCAGCCGCAUUGUGUCCCCCUCAUCAGAAUGUUCCCAUCAGGUAUCACCUGUUCCUCUGCCUGCUUUUCCAAUAGAACUCCCAGAAAUGAGUGUUUGUCAUCCCCCUCCCGUGUUCUCAGGCCUUUCCCACAUUAUUCCACCAAAGUGGCUCAUCCAGGCCAUCAGUGACACCCUUGCUGGGUCACUUCUUGUUCUUGUCUGACCUGAUCCAUCAGCAGCAUGGGCAGAAGUGACCGCUAUUCUCCUUAGAGCCCUUUCCCCACUGGGCCCGGUCCCCUUGCUGCCACACAGGCUACUCCUUGGGAUCUCUAGACUGAUGUCCUGUCUCCCAACCCUCUGGACAUUGGCAUUGCCCCAGGUGUUCGUCCCUGUGAGGACAAGGGCCUUCCUUGUGGGGACCAAGGUCCUCCCAUAGGGAACGUGCCCUGGUAGGGAGAUGUAUGGGUGACACUAGUGACCACUCCCUUGUGUCAGAUGCUGUCCUUGACCACAAGCACCCAGCCCGCCCAGGCUGCAUCCAGCCCAUGCCCCUUUCAUGUCUCCUGUACCUUGUUGUCCCAUGCUCAGCUCACAUGUUUUCACAGUGAGCUGCUGAGGCCUGUGCCAACUGCCACCUGUGCGGGCUCCCCACCAAUGCUACCUCAUCGCUCUUUGCUGCCACUGCAUCCCGGGUGCUGCCCCGUCUCCUCUCCUCUUGCACACACAGCCAAUCCAUUAGGAGAUCUAUCAGCGCCCACCAUCAUGGCUGCCAUCUUGGAUGCAGCCUGUCUCCUCCCUAGGGUUUCUGCAGCAUCCUGGCUGGUCUCCCUCUGCCCUACCCCAGCAUGUCCUUUCUUUCCCAUCCUUCUCAUGGAGGCCCUCCUGGACACCAUCUCACCCACAGCAGCUGGGGUCCUUCAGGUUCCUUGUUUCCUUCUUGCGGAUCAUGUUGGAUAGAGGGGGUCAGUGGGCAAGUAGUAGGCUCUCGGUGGAUCGUGUUGGAUGGAGAGGUCACUGGGCGCGUAACAGGCUCUUGGUGGAACAUGUUGAAUGGAGGGGUAAGUCGGCCUAUAGCAGGAUGCAUGUUGAAUAGACGAAUUAGCAGGCAUGUAGUAGGCCCAUGGCAGACACAUGUUGGAUGGAAGGGUAGCAGGCGCAUAGUAGGCGUGUGGCAGAUCAUGUUGGAUUGAGGGUUAGCGGGCGCAUAGUAGGCGUGUGGAAGAUCAUGUUGGAUGGAGGGGUUAGCGGGCACAUAGUAGGCAUGUGGCAGAUAAUGUUGGAUGGAGGGGUUAGCGGGCGCAUAGUAGGCGUGUGGUAGAUCGUGUUGGAUGGAGGGGUUAGUGGGCGCAUAGUAGGCGUGUGGUAGAUCAUGUUGGAUGGAAGGUUAGCGGGUACAUAGUAGGUGUGUGGCAGAUCGUGUUGGAUGGAGGGUUAGCAGGUGCACGGUAGGCGUG